UUUUGGUCAGGGUUUCAGAGUUAUAUUUCGGGUUUUGCAAGUUUGAUGGUGAUGAUGCUUGAUUAACUAAGACUUGAUGUUUAUGCUAUAUAAUUGAUUAGUUGUAGUGAUUAUGGCUGAGAAUUGAAUUGAUUAUAAUGAGUGUGAGAGUUGUUCUUGAUUAGGGUUCAUGAGCUAAUUUAGAGAUUUAAUUGGGGUUUUGGUUGUUUGAUUGUUGUAGUGUAAUUGUAAGCUUGUAAUGAAGGUUAUGGAUGAUGAAAUUGGAGCUUUAAACCUACGGCAAUAGAGACAUCAUCAAGACUCGACGAAGCGACUAUCGACAAGGCUCGAUGGGAACGGAUCGAGAUGUCUUCGUGUUUAUUUGAAGAAUUUGGAUAGCAAGUGGGAUGGUAUGAUAUGAUUUGAAGAGUUAAGCUUCCGAAGUUUUAAUUCUCGGAAGUCAUUUGCACAAGAAGUAAAAAAAGGUUUUCAUUCUAGCGGUCUGCAGUAGUCUAGAUGUUUUUGUCUAUGUAUUUAUCUAGCGGAUUUUAACUCUGAUAUUUUUGUAAAAUGGGGUCACGUGUUUUUUUUAUAAAUGAAAAAUGAUUUGAUUUGCGAAAAAUUUACACAGAAUUUUAGGCUUGCUACGGGUUUCGGAGCUACCACUCCCAUUCCCUAGCGCCGGUCGCGGCUCAUUAUUUUGGGUCGUGACAAAGGUGGUAUCAGAGCAAUGGUUUAGAUUCAUAGGCCAUUGCCUGUAUACGAUUGAUGUCUGUAGUUCCUAGGUAUGAUGUCACUAGGUUAAGCUAAGAACUACUGCGGAUUAUAGGAAUUUCCAGUCAUGUCUUUUGAACGUUAUCAUCUUUUUCAUCGAUUUUUCAAUCAUUUUACAAAGACGUCCCUUCCUAUAUGUGCUAUUAGGAGUCGAGUUAGGAAUGUGCAUGAGCACAAUUUAUGUUUUGUGUUUACUCGAGUAAGCAAUACGCUUUCGAGUAUCUAUAGUCUGCGAAGAGUUAUAUACUCUCGAGACUCAUAUGAUAGAAGAAUAUUGUUAUGGACUAUGAUUGAAUUGAUUGAUUGGAUAUUA